AGAUGCGAUGCGCCUUCUGCAGCCGUCCUCCCGCAAAGGACUCGGGGUGAGCACCCAGAGGCUAGGUCAGCCCUCACUGGGGAUUCCCAACAUUACAAAGAGGGCAGAGGCUUCUUCAGACAGGCAGUGUCAAGCUGGUCCCCCGUGCUGAGGAGCCUGAGAAGCACCGCAGGCCCUGCAGCCGCAGCCCUCACUCUUCCCAGCAGGUGUGUUUGGAGAAGUGCAUCCCGAGUCGCACCCUGCACAUGCUCCCUUGCUUACUUAUAGGCUCAAUUUUCUUUUCUGUUUAAUCCCCAAAUCAAUAUGUGUUCAUACAUAUUUAAUCGGGAGGCUGUUUUUAUUAGAGUGGGGAUUAGUUUUACAUCUUUCUCCCUACAGUUUAGAAGACACCGCCACUCCAGAGGAAGAUGAGGAGAGGAAGGAGAAGACCUGGUCCCCCAGCCAUUGUGCAGAGGUGAGAGACCGCAGUGAGAUCUCCAAGAUCCGAAGUUGUUUGGCUGAUCCUGGAGAGCAGUGUAAACACCGUCUCUGGUGGUGGAAGGGCCAGGUCCACCUGCACGUCCCGUCUCUCCUUCCGCUGAAGUGGCCGACACAGUCUGCAGCCCCCACCGGCCCUGACCCAGGGAGCACGAGGAUGGCAUCCGCCUUCCGUGUCACCACGCCGAGCACACAGUAGGCCCUGAGGAGCUGCGUGCUUGCCGGACAGGUGGCCGAAUGAAUAACGGAACGAGAGCAUGGACCAUGAGCCCAGACCAGCUUCCCUCCUCCACGAAUCCAAAUGUAUAAAGAGCACCCGGCAAGUC
rnacentral:lncRNA from 1 species